AUGUGGAUUCUAGGACUAUCCACCAUCCUCGCCGUGCUCCUCUUCCCUACGUUUUGGACGGCCGCGGUCUCCGUGCGUAGCUCGACGCUGCUCCUGGCACGCUCAUACUCGCUGCCGUCGCCCAAUGCCGGCGCGCCCCUCGCCGCUUGGGCAGUCUCCCUUGCCAGGCAGUCCGCCGCCGACGUGGCACGCGUUGCUACGCUCGCCGCUGCCGUGCCCGCCAAAGCCAAACCUAAGGGCAAAGGCCGGUCGUUCGUGCCGAUCGCGCCGGGCCGGCAGAUCCUCAGCAUCCCCAACUACGUGGCCCGCGCGCGGCUCGGCACGCCGCCGCAGACGCUGCUGGUCGCCAUCGACCCCAGCAACGACGCCGCCUGGAUCCCGUGCAGCGCCUGCGUCGGCUGCGCACCCAAGUCGUCGCCGUCCUUCGCCCCGACGGACUCGCCCACGUACCGGCCCGUGCGGUGCGGCUCGCCGCAGUGCGCGCAGGUGCCGGGUGCCGCGUCCUGCCCCGGCGGCCCUGGCGCGUCGUGCGCGUUCAACCUGGCGUACGGAUCGUCCACGUUCCAGGCCGUACUCGGGCAGGAUGCCCUCGCCCUCGAGGGCGGGGCCGUCGUGUCGUCGUACACGUUUGGGUGCCUCCGCGUGGUCACCGGCGGGUCCGUGCCGCCGCAGGGGCUCCUUGGCUUUGGGCGUGGGCCGCUGUCCUUCCUGUCGCAGACCAAGGACACGUACGGCUCCGUCUUCUCCUACUGCCUCCCGAGCUACAAGUCCUCCAACUUCUCCGGGACGCUGAGGCUCGGCCCCGCCGGGCAGCCGAAGCGGAUCAAGACGACGCCGCUGCUCUACAACCCCCACCGCCCCACCCUGUACUACGUCGACAUGGUCGGCAUCCGCGUGGGCGGCAGGGCCGUGGCCGUGCCGGCAUCGGCACUCGCGUCGUUCGACCCGGCCACAGGCACGGGCGGCACGAUCAUGGAUGCGGGCACCAUGUUCACGCGGCUCUCGCCCCCCGUGUACGCCGCGGUGCGCGACGCGUUCCGGCACAGGGCGCGGGCGCCCGUGUCGGCUCCGCUGGGCGGGUUCGACACGUGCUACAACGUGACAGGCGGCGGCGUGCGGGUGCCGAGCGUGACGUUUGCGUUCGCCGGCGGUGCCGGGGCGGCCGUGACGCUGCCUGAGGAGAACGUGAUGAUCCACAGCUCGUCGGGCGGCAUCGCGUGCCUGGCCAUGGCGGCGGGCCCGUCGACUGGGGUGAACGCGGGGCUCAACGUGCUGGCCAGCAUGCAGCAGCAGAACCACCGCGUGCUCUUCGACGUCGCCAAUGGCCGCGUCGGGUUCUCGCGCGAGCUCUGCACGGCCUGA
rnacentral:rRNA from 1 species